AAACCAGCACCUCAAGUGGUCAGGAGGAUUAUUGGGCCUAAAGCAUCCGUAGCCUGUUCUAUAAGUUUUCGGUUAAAUCCAUUAGCUCAACUAAUGGGCUGCCGAAAAUACUGUAGAACUAGGGAGUGGGAGAGGUAGACGGUAUUCGGUAGGAAGGGGUAAAAUCCUUUGAUCUAUUGAGGACCACCUGUGGCGAAGGCGGUCUACCAGAACACGUUCGACGGUGAGGGAUGAAAGCUGGGGGAGCAAACCGGAUUAGAAACCCGUGUAGUCC
rnacentral:rRNA from 1 species